rnacentral:rRNA from 1 species
AGUGAACGCUGGCGGUAGGCCUAACACAUGCAAGUCGAACGGCAGCACAGUAAGAGCUUGCUCUUACGGGUGGCGAGUGGCGGACGGGUGAGGAAUACAUCGGAAUCUACUUUUUCGUGGGGGAUAACGUAGGGAAACUUACGCUAAUACCGCAUACGACCUACGGGUGAAAGCAGGGGAUCUUCGGACCUUGCACGAUUGAAUGAGCCGAUGUCGGAUUAGUUAGUUGGCGGGGUAAAGGCCCACCAAGGCGACGAUCCGUAGCUGGUCUGAGAGGAUGAUCAGCCACACUGGAACUGAGACACGGUCCAGACUCCUACGGGAGGCAGCAGUGGGGAAUAUUGGACAAUGGGCGCAAGCCUGAUCCAGCCAUACCGCGUGGGUGAAGAAGGCCUUCGGGUUGUAAAGCCCUUUUGUUGGGAAAGAAAAGCAGCAGGUUAAUACCCCGCUGUUCUGACGGUACCCAAAGAAUAAGCACCGGCUAACUUCGUG